rnacentral:rRNA from 1 species
GUUUAAAGUCAUAUUAUCCUGAACAUGCCCAAUCUCACGUGGUCUUGGAAGCUAAGUAGGGUUGGACCCAGUUAGUUAGAACACAGAUGGGAAAAAAAAGAAAGACAAAAACCAGGCUUGGUGCCAUAUGCC